UUUGUCAAAUAACUCUCUGGGAGACCAGGGAGUCGGGAAGCUGGUUGGACUCCUUCCGGAGCUGAAGACAGUGAGUUCCCUGAAGCUGAGUGGCAAUCAGAUAUCGUUGAGUGCUGUGUUUGGCUUAGCUCAGUGUUUAUCGGCCCUGGAACUCAUUAAAUCAAUAGACAUCAGCCUAGGAAACGCUCAGUCGGUCCAUUUAACCUUCUGGGAAAGAGUCAGGUAAAGAGCCUGUCCAAGCAUUUCC